UUUUCGGUGGGGAAAGCUUUCAGGAGACUGCGGCGGCACAGUUCAAUUCCACCUUCUGAUCUGAACGUAGACUUCCUCUUGGUGGUGUACGAUGUCAAUGAAUGCACGAACUAAUGUUCCCUCUCUGCCAUCAAUGCUUCACUCUACAGGCCUUAACAGAUCCGACAUGGAAGAGAUAAUGUCCUGCGCUUCCAUCUACAGAGUGCCGCCUGUGAUCUGGUUCAUUCAUCAUCACAAACCUUUGAGUUUGCCACCCUUGAAAAGCUGCAACCGCUUCCCUGAUCUUCCGCCUCCCCCGGACCAGUGGCUGUCGAGAGCUGUGGAAGAGCCACUGGUGUGUGUAGAGGACACCGUGCGCCCCAAUAAACUGCUGACGGGACAGGACGACGGGACAGUGGCGCCCCCCCCCGGACAGGCAGCAGGGGGAUGUUCAAGGACUACAGUCACUCUGACAAUCAGUGUGGUUUAACUCGUGGAUGUGGUGGAAAAAGUUGAACAUUUCCUGAUGGAAACAAGACGUUUCCGUAUCCGUUGGACUCACCAGGUUCUCCCGGAGGCCCAGGCCCUCUCCAUUGGGCAGUGAAGACCUCCUGCGGGUCAAGGAGGUCCGGUUGGGUGUGCAGCUCCCGGCCGGUCUCCUCUUGACCACCAGCACCUCACAGCAGGCCUGGUCCUCGUUUAAUGUGCUCUUUCCUGCGUUGAUCACCCUGGACGGAGAGGAGAUAACAGACGCAGCACGGACACUGCACCGACACGACCGUGUCUACCGACCUGCAGCCAAAACAUACAGUGCACAGUGGUUGCUCUGCUGUUUAGCUCACAGACACGCGUAUUGAUUAUAGGCAUUGAUCGGACCGCUGCUGAGGUUGCAGAGAGUGAUCUACGUAUCUGACCAUGAUAACCAUCCUGAGAGGAUUUGUAUGGAUCACAUCAUCUCAUGUGGGCUCAGGUUUUCUCUGCUGGCGGAGAGAUUUCACGACAACAAAGCUGGCUGCUCAGCCCGCUGUUGACAAAUCCCCACAAUCUUCUUUUCAAGUUGGGACUACAGGCCAGAUUAAACAAGUAAUUCGAAGACAUCACCUUGGAAUUAGAGGACAUCUUGAUGUGGAAGAACAUGACUGUUCCUGCAGCGAGCCCUGACCCUCUGUCCCCGGUUCACACGAUUUGAAAGAAUGGAGAGACUGACUGUGAUCCAAGACUUAUCACCCAACAUCUGUGCAUGACCUUAGAGUCCUGAUCUCAAACAAUUGGCAGAUUAAUGCACAUGGAUGCGAAAGCAGUCCACAUGUUUGUCACAUUCAUGUCUGCGUACUUUUGGCCAUGUAGUGUGCGUUCACAGGACAGGCAGGCGGCAGGUGACGCCAAAAAUGACAUCAUUCAGGGGUCAUCUUUUCUCCUGCGGGACACAAUAUGUUGUAAAUACCUGAAGACAGUCAUCUCAGUCUUCUACUGAGAAAUUAAAAUAUAUAACUGUGUAACGACCAAAGAUCAUCUCUCAUUCUCAGCGCAGCCCGUCUAAAUGUACAGUUUUUUGGAGGAGACUGUUCCACAGUGUUAUAAAGUAAAACACCAUAGAGGCCGUCGUCCUGGAGCGAGGCACUUUUACUGUAAUGCGAGAGAACAGGUUUCGAUUCUGUGACGGCGUUGGGAAUUAGAACUGCGAAGAAUUCAUUAUUAUUAUCUGGAUGACGUCAUUUGAAAACAACAGGAAUCACCUUAAAAUACAUUCUGUGGUGUGCAGGCCGCCUCUGAAGAGAGCGUAGCAGAAUACAUUUUUUUUUGUUGUGUAGGAUAAAUGGUGUAACUUUGGCAAUGUUCUGUAAGUAGGAAUGGGAAAUUGUGGUUUUCGAAAAAAUUUAAAUGAAUAAACCAUAUGCAUAAAGUUAGUGAGCAGAUGCAUUUCAGUAAGCUUGACUGAUUCAACUUUGACCUUUAUGUUGACUAUAGAUUGUUGUAUCCUCUAUAUUCCAACAAGUGUGGGUCAGUUGGUAUACAGGAAUCUCUUAUUGUGGAUCCUUUUAUUUAAUACAGUAUGUCGUCAUGAGAUUUGAGACCUAUCCCCUUGCCAGAUUACAUAAUUUUGCAGUUAGUCAACAAUAGUGGUCUACCUUCCACUUCAAUGAAUCCUACUGUAGAUCAUUUCAUAUUUUCUCUCAACUCCCUGCAAUCAUCUCCCUCCAGCUGCCUCUGAAGGAUUCAUCACAGGAUUAUGACGGUGAUGACAGGGGCAAGAUGGCUUGGAGAAUGUCAUACCAGCCUGUGUGUGCGUGUGUGUGUGUGUGUGUGUGUUUGCGUGUGUGUGUGUGUGUGUGUAAUCAGCCUGCUGGUUCAGCGGAUGACUGACUCACAGAUGGACACAGACGGCCGCCUACACACACUCCUAGCAGAGGAUAAUCUGGAGGUGGUGAACUCUCUGGUUUCAGUUUAUCUGUGUGAGAAACUGUGAGACACUCGGCACUGCACACGUCUGGAUUUCAACUCAACAACUCAUGCAACUACUACUUGUAGUACUACUACUACUUCAGCAGCUUCUGUUAGUACUAAUAUAUUUCGCAAAUAGUUACUGCAAGUCCUUCUUGUAAUUCUACCACUAUUACUACAAUUAUGCCUCUAAAACUGUACCUAGUAAUAAUAUUGGUUGAUGCAUAUAUUUUUUGUUUGUAUUGUUAUUUUUACAACACACACAAUGAAAUACUGUCAUGAUUCUGCGCCCAGGAACUUUAGUGGACUUUUAUUUAUUCUUCCAUUUCUUGUGCAGCUUUAAGUGCCUAGUGUAUCCUUGCCUUGGUUAAGUUACCUCUGUUUUUGCCGUGUUUGUGUUUUCUUGAGUUUCCUGUUUUAUUCUGAAGUCCCUUUCCUUGUGUUGCUUCACUUCCUUUCCCGUGACUUGUUUCUGGUGUCUUUACUUUUCCUGUGUCCCCUCCCCCUUUUGAUUGUCUGCACCUGUUCCUAAUGUGUCUCACCUGUGUUCAAUUGGCCCCGCCCACCUUGUGUCUAUUUAGUCUCUGUGCUUCCCUUUGUCUUUUUGGUUCGUCUGUGAUUUCCCGCCAGCCUGUGAUGCCUCUGUGAUUUUUUGUCCCAACCUGUUUCCUGUGAUUCCUGCCCUGUGUUUUUCCCCCCAGUGUCUGAUUCCUGCCCGCUGAUGUUUGCCAUUCUGUUCCGUGAUUCCUUUUGCUACAUUCGUGGACACUCUUAGUUGGAUUUAGUUUUACUUUACACUGUAAGUCUGUUUUGUUUUCCAUUUAU